AUUAUACUCCCUCCGUCCCAAAAUUCUUGUCUUAAAUUUACCUAGAUACGGAUGUAUCUAAUAUUAAAAUGUGACUUGAUACAUACGUAUUUAGACAAAUCUAUGACAAAAAAUUUGAGACGGAGAGAGUACAGC
rfam:Triticum aestivum genome assembly, contig: Triticum_aestivum_CS42_TGACv1_scaffold_226855_3B